AACGGUAGAGACUGUGCUAUUCAUAUGUAAUAGGUUUAAAGGGUACCUAGACGGUAGGUUAAUCGGCUAAGUAUACUUAGGACGGGACUACUAGAGUUUUAUAGAAAGUCAGGGGAAGUACUGGCUGCGGUGGAGAGAUAAAAUUCGGUCAUACCCUCAGGACUGGUAAAGGCACAGGCAACCUACUAAAAUAAAACUGACGUUGAGGGACGAAGGCGAGGAUGCACGAACAGG
rnacentral:rRNA from 1 species